UCCACCUGUUCUCAUCCCGAACACAGUAGUUAAGCCCUUAAACGUCGAAAGUACUUGGCUGGAAGCGGCCUGGGAGGAUAGAAAGCUGCCGGUU
rnacentral:rRNA from 1 species